UACGUAGGGUGCGAGCGUUAAUCGGAAUUACUGGGCGUAAAGCGUGCGCAGGCGGUUGUGCAAGACAGAUGUGAAAUCCCCCGGGCUCAACCUGGGAAUUGCAUUUGUGACUGUACGGCUAGAGUGUGUCAGAGGGGGGUAGAAUUCCACGUGUAGCAGUGAAAUGCGUAGAGAUGUGGAGGAAUACCGAUGGCGAAGGCAGCCCCCUGGGAUAACACUGACGCUCAUGCACGAAAGCGUGGGGAGCAAACAGG
rnacentral:rRNA from 1 species